GCUUACGACCAUCUCACCCUGAAUGUGCCCGAUCUCGUCUGAUCUCGGAAGGUAAGCAGAGUCGAGCCUGGUUAGUACUUGAAUGGGAGACUGCCUGGGAAUACCAGGUGUUGUAUGCU
ensembl:rRNA 5S_rRNA 5S ribosomal RNA